UACGGAGGGUGCGAGCGUUGUCCGGAAUCACUGGGCGUAAAGGGUGCGUAGGCGGGUCUUUAAGUCAGGGGUGAAAUCCUGGAGCUCAACUCCAGAACUGCCUUUGAUACUGAAGAUCUUGAGUUCGGGAGAGGUGAGUGGAACUGCGAGUGUAGAGGUGAAAUUCGUAGAUAUUCGCAAGAACACCAGUGGCGAAGGCGGCUUACUGGUCCGGAACUGACGCUGAGGUGCGAAAGCGUGGGGAGCAAACAGG
rnacentral:rRNA from 1 species